ensembl:lncRNA
GAGAAGAGUGUCCAGCUUCCCGGGGCUGCCCGCCCGCCGCUGCUCCUCUGCCCACCUACCAUGAGGAGCGGCUCCUCCCACCUGCCCAUAAAAGCCAAGUGCAUGUUACCAGCAGCGGAUCAGAGCACUUUCCCGGUCCUCUCCUGUGGGAGCCCCCGAGCCUCUCUCCUGGAUCUUACUUGCUCAAGAUAUACUUCAAAGAUAUUAUGGUCAGUUCCAGACAACCACAAUAAAGCAAAUACUGCAAUAAAGUGAGUCAUAUGAAUUUUCUGGUUUCCCAGGGCAUAUGUUAUAUUUACACUAUACUGUAGUCUAUAAAGUGUAUAGUAUCAUUAUGUCUUUUAAAUGUACAUACCUUACUUUUAAAAUGUCUUGCUGCUUAAAAUCCUAGCCAUCAUCCAAGACUUUAGCAAGUUGUAAUCUUUUUGCAAUAGUAACAUCAAAGAUCACCAUAACAAAUAUUAUUUUUAAAAUAAGUUUGAAAUACUACAAGAAUCACCAAGAUACAACAAAGAGACAUUAAGUGAGCAAAUGCUGUUGGAAAACUAGUGCCAACAGAUUUGUUCAGUGCAGGGCCAUUAACUUUUAACUUGUUUAAAAAAGAAAUGCAGUAUCUGAGAAGAACAAUAAAACAAGUAUGCCUGUAUUACAGUCAUAGACAUUUUUACUAUGAUUAUAUUAGCUUUUAUAAGUAACUAAUCCAGCACCUUUACUAUUUACUUUUCCAAAGAGAUUUAUUAUUUCAUAUAUGUUCUCAUUACUAAUUAUCAUCAUUUGUUUUCAGAUUGAAAAAGUCCCUCUAAUAGGCUUUGUAAGGCCAGUUUAGUGGUGGUAAACUCCUUUAUCUUUUGCUUAUCUGUAAAACUGUCUCUUUUUCAAUUCUGAAGGAUGACUUUUCUGGGUAGAGUAUUCCUGAUUGUAAGGGUUUUUUUAAAGCACUUUGAACGCAUCAUGCCAUUACCUGCUUGCCUGCAAAUUUUAUGCUGAUAAAUCUGUUGAUAACCUUAUGGGGCCUCCCUUGUACAUAAAAAGUUUCCUCUUGCUGCUCUUAGUAUUCUUUCCUUGUCUCUAACUUUUGACAUUACAAUUACAAUAUGUCUUAUUGUAGGUCUCUUUAUUCAGAACUUUCUUGGCAUCCUGGUUCUAGAUAUCUAUUUCCUUCUCCAAAUUAAGGAUGAAAAUUAUUCAGGGAAGGAAAAAAUUCAGCCAUUAAUUUUUCAAGUAAGAUUUCUGCUCCCUUCUGUUUGAUGUUGUCUCAUAAGCCCCUUAAGCUACCUUCAUCUUUUUUCAUUCUUUUAUCUUUUUGCUCUUCUGGGUGAACCUCACUGCCUUGUGUUCAAGCCGACUGCUCCUGUCUUCUGUUCCAUCUGUUGAAUCUCUGUAGUGUAUUUUUUAAAUUCAGUUAUCAUGUUCUUCAAUUCUGUGACUUCUAUUUGGUACUUUCUUAUAUUUUCCAUUUCUCUCUUGAAAUUCUCACUGUGUUCAUCCAUUCUUUUCCCAGUUUGGUAAGAAUCUUUAUGACCAUUACUUUUAACUCUUUAUCAGGUAAAGUACUUAUCUCUGCUUCAUUAAGCUUUUGUAUGAGGGUUUAUCUUGUUCUUUCAUUUGGAACAUAUUCCUCUAUUUGAUUCUCUGUGUAACAACCACCUUUCCCAGUCUUGAAAGAGUAGCCUUGUGUUGAAGAUGAGUUUUUUUUUAAUUCAGCUCUGUCCCAGCUCCUGGUCAUCUCUCAAACAUCUGUGCUUGUUAAGCAGCCUAAUAUAUUUUUAAUACCUCCCAGUGGUUGAAGACAUGCCAAGACCUUUCAGAGUCCCAAAGGGAAAGAUCUCAACAUCUAGAUCAGGCUGACAGGAAGUCAGACCCUCAGGCAGCUGCUUUUAAAAAAUAUGCAAAUAUAUGCAGUUCUCAGGGGAAACAAGCAUAAGCCCUGCUGGCCACCACAAUCAGGUGAUCUGGCAGUGUCCCCUGAGCUACAAUCACAAAAAUCACACUCCAGAUGCGUGUGUAAGCUCCUUUCCUGAGAUACUGGUGAGCUGGAGCAAGGUAGAAGGAGAAGGCCAAGAUGGCAUUCACAGCCUGCCUUCCUUGAGAGCAGCUCUGUAGGUCACUAAAUAUGUGCCAGACCUACAACCUGUCCCUCGGGCUGAAGCUCCAGGACAGGAAAAGUAGCAUCAUUCACAGACAGACUGAAAAAUAUGCCUCGGUCUGCUAUCUGAGCUGUGCCCUGGGGGAUUGUAAGCUGCCAAGAACCAUCCCUCUGAUCACCAUAUUCCCAUGGGAUACCAGAAUACAAGCUUCUUCAUCCACCAGAACCAGGCAAUCAAAGGCUGUCCCUUGGGGGUCAGCUGCAAAAAGCAGACACCAGACACAGGCAAAUCUCCCCUCCAAGAGAUACUGGCACUCUGGAGUGCAAUGGAGAGUGAGAGUGAAUAUAGCACCCACCCUCCAAGAUCUCUGGAAAGAAUUACAGUCAGCCCUUAGGUACAUGUUUUAUUAGAAGGCUGCCCCUGUGGACACAGUCGUGAUUAGCUAACAUACCUGAUUCAUAGAAAGACCAAACUCUUAAGUCUGUUAUCUCUUGGUAACCCUGUGUGUGGUAGCUAUUUCAGAACUCUUUCUACAAUAGUUACAGUCCUGUGGGAUGCACUGGCCACCAGAGCCAGGUGAUGUAAAGGUGCUCGCUGGCAGCAGUCAUAAAACUCAGGGUGCCAGACAGGGGUAGGAACUCCUUGCUGGGUGACACUGAUUAUUAGAGUCCCAGGUGACCAGGAACACAAGUUUCCCUGACUUCCAGGGCCAAGCAACCCAGAGAUAUCCCCUGAGCAGCAGUCACAAAAUUUGAGGCACCAGACAUAUGUUAAGGCUCUCUCCUGGGAGAUUCUAGUGCCCUAAGCAUGGCAAAAGGAGAAUCUCCCAGGCUCUGUCCACAGAGAGUGUUGCAGCAGGCUCAUAGAAAUGUGAAGUGUUAAUGCGGUAGAUGAGACUCCUUCUCUUUAAGUCUGGGCACGAUCAGCUACUUCUGAGCUGGGUCCUGCAGCAGAUGAUUCUGAGUGCACUGGCCCUUUAAGAGCUGCCAUCCAUUUCACUGCCAUCCUGUGAGUUUUGGGAUGCAAGCCCUGUCGGCUUUUAAAAUCAGAUAUUUGGAGUGAUCAUCUCUCAAGUGGGUGUCUUAAAAGUUAGGGUGCCUGAUGACAGGUCUGAACCCUUUGCUCCUCAGGGAGAAGCUCCAGGUUUUGAAUUUCCUUCCAGCUGUGGGUCACUGUAUCAGGGGUAGGGUUUACGGAAAGAUAUAUCUCAGCCUCUCCUGCUUGCCAUUUUAAAAUAUGCAUUUAUUUUUAUCUGACUGCACCAGGUCUUGUUCGUGGCAUAUUGGAUCUUCAGUCUUUGUUGCAGUAUGUGGGAUCAUUAGUUGUGGCAUGUGAACUUAGUUGCAGCAUGUGUGACCUAGUUCCCCUGCCAGGGAUCAAACCUGGGCCCCCUGCGUUGGGAGUGUGGUGUCUUAGCCACGGUACCACCAGGAAAGUCCCCUCUGCUGCCUUGAUGUGGUUUCCCUCUCACUUGCCCAUUGCAGCUGUCACUCAGGCAGUCUUCAGAUCUUCAAGAGGAAAUUGGUCCUUUUGUAGCUGUAGGCUCAGUGUGUCUGGGGGAGGAGGUGAGUUCAGGAUCUUCUUAUAUCUUCAUGUUGAACCAGAACAUGGAGUUGCUUUUUUAUAGACAUGGUCAAGGAAGGUCCGAGUGUAAACUCCACGUUCAAGCAAAGACCUAAACCAAACAAGGCAGUGAGCUAUGAAUAUUUCUAGGGAAGAGUGUUCCAAGCAGAAAGAACAGUGGGUACAAAUGCCCUAUAUAGGAAGUAUGGUUGAUGUGUUUGAAGAAUAGCAAGAAAGCCAGUGGGACUGGAGUUUAGUAAGCAAGAGAAAGAAUGGUAGAAGCUGAAGCCAAAGCACUCCAUGUAGAUCCUUGUAAGCCAUCACCAGGACCUUGGCUAUCACACCAAUGGAGCUGGAGAUUCUACGAAGUGUUGAGUAGAAGAGUGAUAGGAUCUGACUCAUGUUUUAAAAAAAAAAAAAAAAAAAAUUCUGGCUGCUUUGUUUAGAUUAGACUUCAGAGGCAAAAGCAGAUGCUUGUAUUAAUUUGGUUAUGCAUCAUGAGUUAUGAGAUUUUUAUAAUUUUCUGUUUUGCACAUGACAAAGCUGAGAGAAGCCACACAGAUGACAAAUAGCAGAACCAGGAUAAGAACCCAGGCAAGCUGGCUCCAGGGGUCAUGCUUUUAACCUCUACACUCUCACUGCUCAAGAAAUAUGUCAAAGGCUGAGGCGAGAAACACUGAUGCAAAUAUCAUUGGCUGGGGACCCCUAGGGGUAGUUCUAAUUGGGGAAGGAAACAUCAUUUUGCUUCAUUCUAUUUCCAUUAUUUCAUGGACUGAAUUGCACUUUGUAGACAAAUGAGUCAGAAAUAUCUGGCUAUGUCAGUUGUUAAAAAACAGUAUAUUACAAGUCAGAAAUAUAAGAGUUAUAGCAGAACCUAUUAAUAACUUUGCAGCAGGUUCCUGAACUGUCAACUGCAGUACUGGAAAGGAGCUUUGCCCAUUUAUUUUCCCACCUAAUGUGAAGUCAAGAAUAUGAAAAGGACUAAGAUUCCCUUUUGUAAUUACUGUAUUGAUAUUGCUUAUCAGUGAUUCUCAACCUUCAUUCCCAUAUGACUUGGGUUUCUCUAGUUAUUUAAAACUUGUAAAGAAAUCCUUCACAAAAUUUUUAUUAUAAUCAGGUCAGUUCACCUCUACAAAUUCUCUAAAAAAUUAAAUACCUGAUUACCAAACCUUGAAAGAGAAAGUUAUGUCCAUGAUAUCUCUUCAACACUAUUUUUGAACACAAAGAAACAUAACUAGAAACAUAACAUUUUCUAUAAUGUGUCAGAAUUUUAGAACUUUCACAAUUAGAAUGUGUAAUAUUAGUAAAAACCCAUCUUUUCACAAAAUUAUGUAAAAUGUUUACAAAUAAUUAUGGGAGAAUAUAGUGACAUAUAUACAAGUAAUUAUGCAAUAAAAAUUAUACUUCAAGGAUGGACUUUUUCUCUCAUUCAUUUUUUAAAGAGAUUUUCAAGUAAAUUAAAUGAAUCCCACCAAAUAGCCAAAACCCAGUUUAGCUCAAAGAGGCACUCUGUUGAGUGCCUUAACAUUUUGAAAGAAAGUGUGAAAGUGAAAGUCACUCGGUCACAUCCAGCUCUUUGCAACCCCAUGGACUAUACAGUCCAUGGAAUUCUCCAGGCCAGAAUACUGGAGUGGGUAGCCUUUCCCUUCUGCAGGGGAUCUUCCCAACCCUGGGAUCAAACCCAAGUCUCCCACAUUGCGAGUGGAUUCUUUACCAGCUGAGCCACAAGGGAAGCUCAAGAAUACUGGAGUGAGUAGCCUAUCUCUUCUCCAGCAGAUCUUCCUGACCCAGGGCCUCCAAACCAGGGCCUCCUGCAUUGCAGGUAUAUUCUUUACCAACUGAGCUAUCAGGAAGCCCUAACUUUGAAGGGAAAGGUAAAGAAGUAACUAGAUACAGGGUAUUUCUACACUCAAAAAUUUACAUCCUUGUCAGAGGAUAAGGCUUAUAUAUCUCAAAGGCUUAUAUGCAUGCAUGCUAAGUCACUUUAAUCAGGUCCAACUCUUUGCGACCCUAUGGACUAGGGCCUGCUACUGCUACUGGUGCUAAGUCGCUUCAGUCGUGUCCGACUCUGUGCGACCCCAUAGAUGGCAGCCCACCUGGCUCGCCAUUCCUGAGAUUCUCCAGGCAAGAACUUUGGAAUGGGUUGCCAUUUCCUUCUCCAAUUCAUGAAAGUGAAAAGUGAAAGUGAAUUCGUUCAGUCGUGCCCAACUCUUAUCAAUCCCAUGGACUGCAGCCUACCAGGCUCCUCCAUCCAUGGGAUUUUCCAGGCAAGAGUACUGGAGUGGGUUGCCAUGCCCUCCUCCAGGGGAUCUUCCCGACCCAGGGAUCGAACCCGCACCUCUUGUAUCUCCUGCAUCGGCAGGCAGGUUCUCUACCACUAGCACUGCCUGGGAAACCCAAAUCUUAUACCAAAAAGGAGAAAAAAUGCAGAUAAUAGUUAAUGACAGUGUUGAACACACAGGGCACUGAGAGCAGUCUUGGGCUCAGCCCCCAGGCAGCCCUGGCCUGCCUCAACUCUCACUCCUCCUGCCAGUCAGUUUUCCUCUGUUCUCCCUCUGAGCCCUCCAGACUGUGAACAACCUGGGUCAUUUUACUGCUGCUGCUAAGUUGCUUCAGUCGUGUCCGACUCUGUGUGACCCCAUAGACGGCAGCCCACCCGGCUCCCCCAUCCCUGGGAUUCUCCAGGCAAGAACACUGGAGUGGGUUGCCAUUUCCUUCUCCAAUGCAUGAAAGUGAACAGUGAAAGUGAAGUCGCUCAGUCGUGUCUGACUUCGUGACCCCAUGGACUGCAGCCUACCAGGCUCCUCCAUCCAUGGGAUUUUCCAGGCAAGAGUACUGGAGUGGGUUGCUGUUGCCUUCUGCCUGGGUCAUUUUACCGUAUAUUAUUACACUUCUGCACUCCCCAUUUGAAUCUUGUAAAGUCCAUACACACACUUUUAGCAGUGUGAAGGGGCCCCUUACACCCACAGAGCAGAAGUUUUGAUUGAUCAGAGAGAAGAAAGGCUGAUGCAGGCAGUUCUGAACAUGGAUCCCAUUAAUAGGGUGAACAGUCCAAGGCAAGGUACCCAAGAGGCAGCUUUGGACAGUAACAAGGUAUUAGAAAUCUGCGAGUUUGGGAAAGAGGAUUUCAAAUGUGGAAGAGUUGCCCAGGAAGGCACGUAGGAGGGGAACUAUCUUUCAGGCUUGACAGGCAGGACUCAAUAGAGGACAACUUUAUCUACAUGCUAUUCUGCUUCUCCCACACAAGACAAGUUAAUGGUAGUGUUAUUUGAUUCCAAAACCAGCUUUCCCAUUAGAAUCCCGAGGUAGUUUUGUCUGAUGUACUGACUCACUGCGAGAGCUUAUUUAUUCAUUUAACAAAUUUAUGGAGCCUCUGUUAUGAAUUAAGUAGGCCUCUGAGGACCAACCUGGAGCCCAGCCUCCAUCGUUUCCAUAGGCAUUCUGUGUUUGGAGUUCCCGACUACUGAUUUACGCCUUUGGGAACUCUUCCCAGUAGUAAAUAGAGGGUUUCUUAUAUCCUUUUUGUAUUCCAAUUUGCAUGCUGCCUUUUCCUUAAUUUAAGGACAGUAUGAAGGUUCAGAAGAAAGGGCUGCACACUGCUUGAUUUUAUUUAUUUCUCUCCCCUUCUUUGUACUUGAAUUAUUUGCAUUCUGGGAAAAGCUCAAGGGAUGGCAUUUUUAUAAAAGUCCCGAGAGAGAGAUCCAUCACAGCAGUGGUUGAGAAAACUGUAAUACAAGGCAGGUCACUUGAUUUACAUAACAGUCUGCAAAUAAAGAACAUGGUUUAUGUUUCAAAAAUUGGAAGAGGUAAAAAACUCACUGUUUUUUCAAGAAGCACUGUUUUUUUGUUUGGAUUCAGGGGAUGAAUAAACUCCUAUUUGCAGAUAUGACCCUUUCAGGGGCAUAAUAAACAAAAGGUGAAUAAGAUGAACAUUUAUUUAUUCAAUUCAUCCAUUUUUAACAUCUUCCCAGCACAGAAUGUGGUGAUAAAUAAUAAUGCUUGUUUUAAAAUAUCAAUAUAUUGUUGUCAGCACACAUUAUAUUUUUUCUCUCUUUCUAUACUAUGUUUCCAUAAAUGUCUUAGGCAUGUUAGGAGAAAGUCCAAAUUGAAUGGGGCUUAAUCAUAACUUCAGUGAACUGAGUGACAGGUACAUAAAUUAAUGUCAGGUCAGGAAAAAUAUCCACACAACUUCAGACAAGCAAAGGGCAAUGUAGUCUUAUCUUUUCAACAACCCCAUGCCACCCACCUCAAACAUCACACAGGUUUGUGUUUGCACUUGCCCUCCUCACUGGAAAAUAGCAACAGUGUGAACUCUUGACAGUCAGGAAGGACCUUAAUCUCCAGUUCAGUGCUUCCAUUUUCCUAACAUAAUCUUAUAAUAUUUGAAAGAACAUAGGAAAUUUUCUCAAUGAAAAUGUUUUGUUUCUAGAAUAGGUUUUUUCUUUCUUUCUUUUUUUUUUCUUUACCUGGAACCCAGUUAAGCAGUUGGAAGUUUAAGAGUUAUUUUCUAAAACACAAGGUGCUCAACCAUAUCUGAUAUGGUCAUUUUCCCAAGAAAAAGUGGAGAAAAACUGCUGGACUCCUGGAUGAAAUUCCCUGUUAGAAUUCCAGAGUUAGAACUCCAAAACUCUAAACACAUUUUCAGACUGGUGGUUUUGUGUUCUUACCAAAUGACCAUUAUAUUUGUCCAUGAUAAACAGUUGUAACUCCUUGACUGGUUGGGACUGGUAAAUCUGGAAUUUGUCAGCUGCCUUUUCAUUAGAACACAGAUUCUCUCUCAGCUUAAUGUGCAUAUUUUAGUGUCACUUCCAAAUAAUUAAUUCAGAUCCAAUUUUCGUAUAUCUGCAAUAGUAGAUUCGGUAGCUCCUUAAGAAAGGUAUAUAGAUUUUGCUAUCCACGAGUAAUAUUGGGUUCUCUGGGGAUCACAGCAAAAAGGAUAUUCUUAUAUAAAGUAUCAAAAAAGAAAGCUAAAUUUAAGUAAGAGAGCUGCCUGGAUCUGUACAAGUCUUGCUGAAUGACUAAGGCCUUGAGUUGAUUUAUAUAACAAGUGCUUUUUAAAUAUUUAGCAUUUCUUUUUCCAAAAGGAUUCAGGUCAGCUUAUAGUGACACAGAUGAUGCAAGAUGAAUCAAAGAGGAACUAAAGAUGAAAACAUGAUAUGGAAUAUGGAGAAAGGCUGUACCAAACAUGCAUGAUGACAUUCUGUAUAAUUGCUACAGGCUGAUCACAGAUAGGGACCAGAUCUUUCUAUCAGACCUCGGGAAAAAGAAACAUGAUCAGUCACAAAAAGACACACACACACGAAAUUAACCUGCUGCUCACAUCAUUGCUGACACUGCCGGGUAAAGUCGUGGAGACCUUGGAAGAAGGAUCACAAUUCAGCAAUCCAGGGGGAAUAACCAGGCUCUCAAGCCCCAAGACGACACCAGGAGUUAGUUCAAUUUUACAUCUAACUGGAGCACACCUUUCACUUUUAUCUUAGUGGUGACACCAAAAAGCUUCAAAACUUCAGCAAGUGAGGCAUUAUCCUUCUUUCUUCUGCCUAUAACAACCCAUCAUUCUUCUGGGAAGGCAAGUGCAUAACUACUUCCUGAAGAGCCUAGUAAGUGUGUUCAGGAAGAAGUCACUGGGCUGCCCCUUGCUUCUGUAUCAAAUUGGUCUUGAUUCCUUAGGCAGAGGCAUAGGAAAGUCAGAAGAGUCCAGGUGAUUCUGCCCAGGCCCUGCCUAACUUGAGGCAUUAUUCCUAGAGAGAAAAUUGGGGGGAAAUGCCAUCGAGUAAGAAAAAUAUAAAAUAAAUUAAACAUACAAAUAAUUAAAUUAAAAGCCUGUAAACAUGUUAACAUGUUUAAUAAAAUGAGUGCUCAGUUGCUCAGUCAUGUCCAACUCUUUGCAACUCCAUGAACAAGGUCCCUCUGUCCACGGGACUUUCCGGGCAAGAAUACUGGCGUGUGUUGCCAUUUCCUAUUCCAGGGGAUCUUCCUGACCCAGGGAUGAUGGAACCUGGGUCUCCUGCAUUGCAGGCAGAUGCUUUACCAUCUGAGCUACCAGGGAAGCCCUUAAUAAAAUAAGAGUUAACAUUUAUCAAGCUUCCUAUGUGUUGAUACUGCACCAAGAGCUUCACAUUUCAUUCAUUUAAUCCGCU